rnacentral:rRNA from 1 species
UACGUAGGUGGCAAGCGUUGUCCGGAUUUACUGGGCGUAAAGGGCGCGUAGGCGGCCACCGCAAGUCGGUUGUGAAAUCUCUGGGCUUAACCCAGAAAGGUCAACCGAUACUGCGGGGCUAGAGUGCAGAAGGGGCAACUGGAAUUCUCGGUGUAGCGGUGAAAUGCGUAGAUAUCGAGAGGAACACCAGUGGCGAAGGCGGCUCGCUGGACCGGUUCUGACGCUGAAGCGCGAAAGCGUGGGGAGCAAACGGG